rnacentral:sRNA from 1 species
CAUUCUCCGCAUCCUCUUUUGUUCUAGUGCAUGGCAUGGGAAGCCCUCUCUAGGAGGAUGCUGUGGCCACACAAGCACUAGACGAACCGCUGGAGUAGGUGACUUCCAAGGUGUCCUGAUGUAGUAGCUAUUAGACAAACUCCUGCAUUUGGCCAGUAAUUAGCGUGCUGCUGCACAUUGCCACUAGGUGGUGCUGCUGCUCCAUCCCAACUAACCCACAUGCAUCCCUGGCUGGGGUCAGCCUUGGGGUUUCCCAAGUGUAGAGGAAUUCAUCUCUGUGCCUGUGGUAAUGGCUGGACACCAGGAGAGACCCAGAAAACAGGGAUAUUCCUAGAAGAGAAAGGCAAAAUAAGCACUCAGAGCAGAGGACAUUUGAGUGUCAAUAAUGAAGGUGGCAGCAGUAAUCAUGGCUAUCAUUUACUAAAAAUAGUGGAUAUUGGCCAGACAUGGUGGCUCACACCUGUAAUCCCAGCAUUUUGGGAGACCAAGGUGGGUGGAUCACUUGAGGUCAGCAGUUCGAGACCAGCCCGGCCAACAUGGUGAAACUAUCUACUAAAAAUACAAAAAUUAGCCAGGUGUGGUGGUGCACGCCUGUAGUCCCAGCUACUCGGGAGGCUGAGGAAGGAGAAUCACUUGAACCUGGGAGGUGGAGGCUGUAGUGAGCUGAGAUCGCGUCACUGCACUCCAGCCUGGACAACAGAGCAAGACUGUCUCAAAAAAAAAAAAGUAGAUACUGUGCUAGUCACUUGAUACACAUCAUCUCUGAUCUUUGCACUGAGCGAGGCAUGUGUAUUAUGUCUGCAUUACAAAAGGGGAAAAAUUAAGGUUCAAGAAGAUAAAGUCACCAGGCAUGGUGGCGCAUGCCUGUGAUCGCAGCACUUUAAGAGGCUGAGACAGGCGGAUUGGUUGAAUCCAGGAGUUCAAGACCAGCCUGGGCAACAUAGUGAGACCUCAUCUCUACAAAAAAAUUAAAUUAGCUGGGUGUGGUGGUGUGUGCCUGUAGUCACAGCUCCUCGGGAGGCUGAUGUGGAAGGAUCACUUGAGCCCGGGGGAUAGAGGCUGCAGUGAGAUGAGACUGAGCCAUUGCACUCAGCCUAGGCAACAGAGUGAGACCCUGUCUCAAAACAAAACAGAAAUAACAAAAAAUAAGGCAACUUGCUGGAGGCCACAUGGCUGUGAGCCAAAUACAGGUCUGGGUUAUCAGGGCUCACAUACUUCUAAGUACACCCUACUGCCUUGGAAUCUGCUGAAGACCAAGCCCCUGCUCCCAAGCCAUGGCAAAAGAGGGAAGGAAGCAAAGGUGCCCAGUGGGGACAACUCGGGGAGCGGCGAGGUGCCCAGGGCCCAGGAAGGCCAAGCAGCAUGUGGCAGGGCAGCAUCAGGUGACUCCCAAGAAGGAAUGAGGAGAGGAUGUGAGGAAAGAGCCACAGCACAGAGGCCUGCUGUUAGGUCAGCGGAAACCACGGCCCAUGGGACCUGGAUCUACCCUUGAUGCUAACAAUGUUCUUUGGGGAAAAAAUCUAUAAUCACAAAGUUUCUGCAACUGGACUGUAGUCAUGGUUGCAGAACUGUAUAGAUUUACUAGGAACCAUCAAAUUGUUCACUUACAAUGGGUAAAUUGUACAGUACAUAGGUUAUCCCUCAGUAAAGCUGUAUGAAAUUUAUAGUCAUGAAACCAAUAGUGACAAAGGAGCUGGGUAAGUAGGUCUCAGCUGUUCUGUAGGCACUUUGAGAAGAGGAAGAGUAGCAUCUCGGUUUUAAUAAAAGAAAGCCUGGCCCAUGGCGUCCAGCUUCUGCUUGAAUACUUUCAGUGCCCGGGAACUGAGUAUCUCAAAGCAGCCCACUCCGGUUUAAGAGAACUCUAAACCUUAGAAUGUUGAAAUACAUCAUUAUUAUUCUAGUACUGCUGUGAAAAAUAAAUGUCUUUGUUUUGCCACAU